GAUGAACGCUGGCGGCGUGCUUAACACAUGCAAGUCGAACGAGAAUCAACGGAUUGAGGAUUCGUCCAAAUGAAGUUGAGGAAAGUGGCGGACGGGUGAGUAACGCGUGAGGAACCUGCCUCGGAGUGGGGAAUAACAGUUGGAAACGACUGCUAAUACCGCAUGAUACUUUUUGGGGGCAUCCCUGAAAAGUCAAAGCUUUAUGUGCUGAAAGAUGGUCUCGCGUCUGAUUAGAUAGUUGGUGAGGUAACGGCCCACCAAGUCUGCGAUCGGUAGCCGGACUGAGAGGUUGAACGGCCACAUUGGGACUGAGACACGGCCCAG
rnacentral:rRNA from 1 species